rnacentral:pre_miRNA from 1 species
AAUAAGUGCAGUUUUGUAUUGUUUGUAUUUAAUGUUUGAUCAUCCAUUUUAUUUAAAAAUAUAAUUAGUAGUUUUAUUAUUAUUAGAUAAUAAAACAUGAAUAAUACUUUACGUGUGACUAUUUUUUAAAAAGUAUAAAUUUUUAAAUAAGAUAAACGGGUAAGCGUUGGACAAGAAAACUCACAAAUACAACUAAA